UUUUUUUUCCUGGAUUUGCCUCUCAGUCGCUGCUGGAUUUCACCUUGCAAAUGUGUGCUCCACAAGCAACGCUCUGCCCCUCCGACAGGACAGCAUCAGGCGAACCAGGCGGGUGUGAGGGCCAGGUGGGAGCCAGGGCUGGGGGUGGCACCAGGCGCACCCUCACCUGCUCGGAGCUGCGGCCGCGCCGCGCCCUGCAGAGCAGGAGCCCCUCCGCGCACAGCGGGCCCGGCGGGGCCCGGCAGCAGCACCGCGCCCUCCGACCGGGCCCUCCGACCGCGCCUGGCCCUCAGACCUCGCCCUCAGACCGGGCCCUCCGACCGCGCCUGGCCCUCAGACCUCGCCCUCAGACCGCGCCCUGAGACCGCGCCUGGCCCUCAGACCUCGCCCUCCGACCGGGCCCUGAGACCGCGCCUGGCCCUCAGACCUCGCCCUCAGACCUCGCCCUCAGACCGGGCCCUCCGACCGCGCCUGGCCCUCAGACCUCGCCCUCAGACCGGGCCCUGAGACCGCGCCUGGCCCUCAGACCUCGCCCUCAGACCGGGCCCUGAGACCGCGCCCGGCCCCAUCGCUCCCUCCGACCACGCCUGAAGCACCGGGGCCGGGCAGAGAGGGAGCUCAGAAUAGCUCGAGGAAGGAGCCUACGAAGUGCCAGAUGUAACCAGUCCAGUGACUUCAGGAGGACCCCACAACAAUCCUCUUACAAAGCCAGCUUUGUAGCCUUGGUGUCACAGUUGCUCUGGUGUACCUGGGAGACGAGGCUCCACACACCCUGAGGAGCUCUGGAAGAGCUUUUCUUCCACUCCUGAGCAAGGCUGCUGUGUGUAUCCGUUUGUAUCCCACGACAUUUUGCCAAUCCAUAUCUCCACUUUUGUAACCUGGGAGGUUAAGCACCUACAGAAUGAGUUUAAUGGAAACAUGUGAGGUAUAGGAAGACAAAGGAAAGAUCUAUGCUCUAGGUCAUGGGAAUUUUCUACUUUUGUCAUUCUAGGUUGCUGGUCUCUUCUCAUCUGCCUAAAUCUGGUUCUUGAAAACUGUAGGAGGGGAAACUGGGCUAAUUUUGGUGGUGUCCUGGUUGCAAGACCAGGUGUCUCUGACCACACCACAGGGUGAUGUUUGUUAAUAUUUUUCUCCUGUGUAUCUUGUGGCUACUCCCAAACUGUAGAUGUUAAGUUCAUCAGGCCUCAUCUCACCCAGCACUGGUGAACAGAGUUGUUUGAAGAGAAACUGCAAUUGUCCUUUUAGUGGGGCAAAGUGGGAAGGCUGUCAGCAUCAGCCCUGAGGACUCCAUCCUCUGCCAUUGCUGUCCAUCCCCUCUUAUUUUCUCUGAGACAGAGCAGUGUUAUCCCAAGCAUGAAUAUGUCUAUUAGAUGUAGAUUUCAGGAAAUUUUUUUUCCAAGACUCCUAACUCAAAACGUUGAGUGGCUACCUUUGAACAUCCAGUUGUCCAUCACAAUCAUUACCAAGAAGGAGACUCAAGAUGCAAGGACUGAAGACACCAUUUAUUAAAGGGCACAUGUCUAAUUAGCACAAACUGGCAACAAGACAUUGCCAGACUCUAGAACAUCUUAAUUUCCAGCACCUUGCCCACUCGUCCCCUGGACCCAGUGAACUCUGAAUUGCCUAGACUUCAGCAGAGCAGCAAAGAGAAUGUGAGCAAUCCAGAUUACCUCUGCACCAAACCUUUGAUUUAGUUGCUCAUAAAACCAAGUCCUGCCUGAGACACUGGGUGGCAAAUAUAAUACCAUUCAUUCAUUCAUUCACACAUUCAUUCAAAUCACCAUCCAUUUCACAAGCAAGCUUUUGGCUGAUGCUAAACUUUGAAGUGUUUGCUGUGGUCAGAACGGAAGAUCCAGAAAGACUUAAGGAGUGAAAUGCCAGAGGAUCCAGUAAAAUCAGCUUAGCACUGGCUGAGCAGGGUGCAGAGGGUCAGUGUAAGCCUCUGACACAUACUAGAGGGAACGUGUGGCGGCAGGAAGUGCCUGCCAGUCAGGCUGCCUAUUAACUCAAAGGAACACUUCUCUACAUUUGAAAAAGUUGAUUUUUCUGCAUGCUGCAUUGUUUUACAGUAGUACUCUAGAGAUGCAUUGGUAGAGGCACUAACAAAUGCCUUGUUUGCCAUCUUUAAGAUUUAGAAAUUAAAUAGAAGACAUUUAUUGAAUAGGCAUCUGCAGUAUACAGUAGGGAAUUAUUAUGUAAGCAAGACUGUGAAGAAAUAAAUCAACCCAUGGCUUUGUUUUCUUAGGCUGUCAUGAUCACCUUAGCAGAAUUGCCUUGCUGU